CCCCCCAGAAAGGAACACAGGAUCACGUGGAGCAGCGCGGCACGUGCCGGGCUCGGCAGCACCAGGCCCCCGAGGUUGUCGCGCGCUAGAACGCCCAACGGUCGGUCGGUUGUGCAGGACCAGGGACUCCAAGCCCGCUGCCUCCACCUCGCCCCGCCCCCUCGCGCCCAGUCCCCCGGCACAAGCCGGUCGUAGCAGCCCUGUUCUGCCCGCCCGGGGCCCCGCUACCUGGCACACGGCGCUGCGGAAGCCGCGAUUCCCAGUGACCCUGAGAGUGGACCUGGAAUCCUUCAAGGAGUGGAGAGAGGCAUCGGUCUUUUCGGCGAAGAGCUUCACCCCCUCAGAGGGGAGGUCCUCCACUGUGAUCUGUGCCUCCUUCAAGAGGUGAAGCCAUGACGCCUGUCUCAUCACCACAGCUGUGGAGAUGGUCCUGGCAGUGGCAGCUGUGUUGGCAGCAUCGAGGGCUGAAUUCACAUCUGCCUAUGAUGGGAUUUCUUACUCCUUCCUCUGAAACCUCUGGUGGGCCACUGUUGGAAACAGAAUAUUAGACUACAUGGACCAGAGCUCUGAUUCAGUAUAGCAAUUCUAUGUCCCCUACGUCCCUACAAUUGUCUUGUAACCACUUUCAAGAAAAACUGGGUUGUGUGAAGACCCCCCUUAUCCUACAAUGAAGGGUGGAUCGGCCAUAAGUGCCUGCAAUUCAGUCAUCAGAAUCAAGUGGUAGCAAUCAGAAAUGCUGUUUUAAUGCACAGAUGAAAUAAAGAACAGUCUGGCAAUGGUUCAGAGUGUCCAUUUGUGUUGUGAGAACCAAAUUAAGGUCUCAUGUAGGAAGUGAUUGUCUUUCUUGGGAAUAUGUAUGGUCCAAACCUUUCAUAUUAGGAUGAGGAAGCAUAAAUUACCCUUGAAUGAGUGGGUGACAAGUGGGGAUGUAUCUCACAAAUAUAUGUUGGUGGUAGAUUUAGAAUGCAUGAAAUUCAUGUAAUGACAAAUAUCUGCAUAUAAGUAUUGUUUGAUUAGCUCUUAUGAGAUGUAUUUGUUGCACUUAUGGUGAGCUCUGUAAGUCCAUCCAUAUAUGAGAGUGUCAGCUUCCAUGCUCUAACUAUGGGGAGUCUCAGUUCAGGGUUCUGGAAUCUGACCUCAUUGUUGAGACAAAAGUUUGGCUACUCUAUGACGAUUCAGAGCAGCAACUCUUCUCUCAGACCAGGAAGAUAUGAAUACCAUCACUGACAAGCUGGGGCUACUAAAAUUCCUUGACCCUUGUCCUGUCUUUUUCUUUCUCUAAAAUUAAGAUCCCAGUGGAACCAGAGAGAAUGCAUAUAAAAGUGCUAUCUACAGCAUCCCUUACAAUCUGGUAGGGGAUCCUCCAUAAGGCAAUUUGUGUUCUUGCCUUCCCUGAUACAAUACAGAGAGCAUUUGGUAUUAUGUUCUUUUGCAAACAUCUAUUUUCAGAUGGCUUAUUUCUGAAAGGGCUAGGUGAACAAGAAAUGGGAAAACAGUAUGAUGAAAGCCCUCUUCCAAAAAGACCUUCCUAACAGAAUGCACGGGACUUGUAAUUCAGUUAGGAAUUGCAGCUACAUGGUCUUUGUGAACUUGAACCACUCAGUGUUGCAUCUUUGGCAGAAAAGUCAUUAGUAUGACAUAUUACCUUUAACUUCAGGACAUUGGUAUGUAUUCUUGAUUCCCUGACACGUUCAGUGUUCUUAAAUCUCAGAUCUGGCAAACAUGAUCUCUACUGUUGCAGAGGUAUUUGUGCAUAUCGUGACUUUGGAUACCAAAGGAGGGAGGAAAGGAAUGCUGUACUGAGGCAUUAUGACUGAGGCAUUGUCCACCACAGAAAUGAGUCCAAUAUCUCUGGAUGCGUGGUCAACUUUUUAAAUAAUAUUGCUGUUUGCUUUGUAAUGUGCAUUCAUUUAAAUUCAACAAGAUUCUCAUUUGUAAUCCUGGUAUGAGAGGUCACCUGAGUGCUUGAGGUAAUGAAAAUAUAAGAACGUAAGAAUGGCCAUAGUGGGUCAGACCAAUAGUCCAUUUGGCCCAGUAUCCUGUCUUCUGACAUUGGCCAAUGCCAGAUGCUUCAAAGGGAAUGAACACAG